CGAACAACCGCCGUCCUGGGAUAUUCUAUCCGGCCCAGUUGGAAAACUACAAAUCAGGAUUGAAAUAUGAGGUUCUCGAUUUUCCUCUGCCUUAGUAUAUUUCUGUCAAUCGUAUAUGUGGGAGCCUUAGCUCAAAUAACAUUUUCAACUGGUUGGGGGAAAAGAGCAGUAAACCCUGCAAGCUGCAGAUUCGAUCUAAACCCACUCCUCUUCAUCUCUAGACGCUUGCAGACCGAACUGCAGAAAAUGAUGGAAUGCGCCCAAUAAACACCAAUGGACCAGUAAUUAUCUGAAAAAUCAGAUCUUUUAGAAUAUUAGCACAAAAUGUUUUGUGAAUGUUUUGAUGGAAAAUAAAUGAUAUGAUGUAGUAA